UACAGAGGGUGCGAGCGUUAUUCGGAAUUACUGGGCGUAAAGCGUGCGUAGACGGUUAUCUAAGUCGGAUGUGAAAGCCCCGGGCUCAACCUGGGAAUUGCAUUCGAGACUGAAUAGCUAGGGUACGGUAGAGGGAAGUGGAAUUUCCGGUGUAGCGGUGAAAUGCGUAGAUAUCGGAAGGAACAUCAGUGGCGAAAGCGACUUCCUGGACCAGCACCGACGUUCAGGCACGAAAGCGUGGGGAGCAAACAGG
rnacentral:rRNA from 1 species